rnacentral:lncRNA from 1 species
UCCUAUUUUGUAACAGAUUAUGAUCCAACUAUUGAAGAUUCCUACACAAAGCAGUGUGUGAUAGAUGACAGAGCAGCCCGACUAGAUAGUAAGUAAACUUGUUUAUUUUAAUAGUUCAUCUGUUCUAUUUUUAAAAAGUUACCUCUGGUAUUUUGCUGAUUAUAUAGUAUAAUGGAAAUAUUAGAUGAGGUCUUCAAUAUAAGCCUGCCUUUUUCAUUAGUUUUGAUGAGUCUCUAUAUUGGUCAGUUUUUUUUUUUUUUUCGUAUUGGUCAAUUUUAAAUAUGUCUCUGUAAAUGAAAGGUAAAACAGUAAUUGAACUGAUCUUGUUCUGCUAAGACUGGUCUUAUAAUUUGUUGAAAUGUAUUUAUUGGUACAGCUGGAAAUAGAAAAUCAGGUCUCAUUUCUUCCUGCUGUUUGGCAAAGGCUACACUGGGGAAGUGACCAUAGAGUUUAAGCCCAGAGGCUUUAACAAAUACUGUGCCUGGUUAAAUAUACCACUUCCACACAGGAGAAAACCCUGCUCUCUUUUUUUUUUUUAAGUUGUAGAUGAACAAAUACCUUUAUUUUGUUUGUUUAUUUUUAUGUGGUGCUGAGGAUUGAACCCAGUGCCUCACACAUGCAAGGCAAGCACUCAACCACUGAGCCACAACCCCAGCCCAAAACCCUGUUCUUUUAAUUUGUGUGAUUCUUUUAUUCAUAGAGAUUAAGAAAUGUAUUAGCACCUGUCCAAAGUCUGGUAUUUGUGUGGCAUGAGGACAGGUAACAACCGCAAUUUCUUUCUUGAAUUUAUAAUAUCUUUUUCAGAUCUUUACAUGGAGGAGAUAAAUAUUCAAGUGAUUUCAGAGGUUAUCUGAUUCUGUCUGCAUAGAUGUGUUUGAUAUUUUUAACCUUGUAAUUGGUAUGCUAAUAUAUUCUAACUGUAAAAUGGAUCUGUGCUGAUGAAAAUAAGCUCUGUAACUGUCUGCCAUUAGAAUAUGUUUGUCUUUAAUAUUGAGAACAAAGUAUUAAGAGAGAGGAAUGUCAUUUCCUUUUUAUACCAAGAAUAAGGCUUUCUAGAGGACCCACACGAAAGGAGCCUAUCCUUGUAGAGGAGCAGUUUAUAAAAAAUGAAAACACGGGUUUUUUUUUUGUUGUUGUUGUUGUUUGUUUGUUUUUUUCCCUUUAGUUUUGGAUACAGCUGGACAAGAAGAGUUUGGUGCCAUGAGAGAACAGUAUAUGAGGACUGGUGAAGGCUUCCUUUUGGUUUUUUCAGUCACAGAUAGAGGCAGGUUAG